AUAGCUGCAGAUGUGGAAAUGCCAAUAACAAAGAAGACAAGGCACAGCAAACUUCAGGCUGAGGCGCCACAGGCUUCACCCUGACCCUAUCUGUAAAUAACAGCGGCCUUUUAAUAUUGCGUGGUAACAAGAUAUACAAGUGGUUCCCACCUAGAUACUCAGGGUGCUGUGGACUCAGUUAUCUGACAUCCUCUGUUACUAGGUACUCCACUUUAAAUGGCAGCCAAAUUACAAAUGGGCCUUUUUGUUCAUAAAGUGGUGCCACACAGAGGUAAUGAAUGUGACUUUGUAAAAAACCCACCUAUAUAUCACAAAUCUAUGUUCUUUUCAGUCCUCAGAACUUUUCCCCUGGCAUUUGGAACUUAAGAAAAUGAAAGGGCAGUUUAAAAUCUUUCCAUGGCAAUAGAACAAGACUUCAGUAUCACUACCCAAGCCUUGGGAGCACUCCAGUCAGAAGUCAACAGUCCAGCUUCUGCUGUACUUUAGAACUGCUGCAGCCUGAAUGUGCUGACAGCCCAACAGGGAGGAGCUUGUGCAGCUAUUGGUGACAAAUGCUGUUUCUACAUAAACCGCUCAGGGCAAGUAGAGACUGAUCUGCACCUCUUGAAGGUCAAGGUAAAAUAUUAUCCAUCAGAUCUCUUACUACCCAGCUACUAAACCAACUUCUCUCUCCAGAGCCACUAACUUAGGAUUUUUUUUUUUUUUUUGAGACAGAGUCUCACUCUGUCACCCAGGCUGGAGUGCAGUGGUGUGAUCUUGGCUCACUGCAACUUCCGCCUCCCAGGUUCAAGCAAUUCUCUGCCUCAGCCUUCCAAGUAGCUGGAAUUACAGGUGCCCGCCUAUAAUCCAUACCCAGCUAAUUUUUGUAUUUUUAGUAGAGACGGGGUUUCACCAUCUUGGCCAGGCUGGUCUUGAACUCCUGACCUCAUGAUCCACCUACCUUGGCCUCCCAAAGUGCUGGGAUUAUAGGCAUGAGCCACCGCGCCCGGCCUAACUCAGCUUUUUAUGUGUGAAACUUCUAGGGGAGUUCCAGACAGGGAGAAUGAAUAAGCUCCUUGGUAUAAUGUAUAUUUUGAAUUAAAAGACUUUAUAAAUCAACAGGCCUCAGAAGAAACUUAUCCCCUAACUUCAAAAAGAUCAGAUAGGCCCAUCAAGAACAAUUGCCUUUUCUUCCCUUCCCUGUUAUCUCACUAUUUCAGGAAAGAAGAGGAAGAAUAUAACCAUACCAGAACCAACCAUUUUACAAAAUAAUACCUGUCUCUCAGGUUCUUUUAACUUCCAAAGAAAACCAUUUACAAGUCAAUUUCUGUUCUCACCUUCCAUUCAUUCUCCUAAGUACCUAUUCAUUUUUCCUUAGUAAUUAUUUAAUGCCCCUCAACCAGAAUUACCUCUAUAUUCCCCAUCUUCCCCCUCCCCUCUGAAAGAGGUUAUAGAAGUGUCUGGGCCCUGUUGGGAAAUUGGGUAAUCACUCUAUGAUUCUUCUCGAGCACAUGGUUAAAUAAAUUUGUAUGCUUUUUGUCCUAUUAAUCUGCCUUACUGUAAAUUGAUUUUUUUCAGCAAACCCUCUGAGGGCAAGGGGAAAGCUCCUCCAAUGCCCAUACACAAGUGAAGAAGAUCAAGAAGAAUUUAUCACAAACCUGCCUUGCUAUACAAGUGUCUGAUGUACAAAAGACUGAAGUGAAAUACUUGUUAGCACCAAUAAAAUAUAACUCAGUGACAAAUUUUCUAAAAAGAACUUUGUAUCUAGGAUUGAUAGGCUUGGAAAAAUCUUACAAACUUUUCUUCAACAUCUGAAAGUGUUUUUCAGUCUAUAGUAAUUGUCAGGCCUCUGAGCCUAAGCUAAGCCAUCAUAACCCCUGUGACCUGCACGGAUACAUCCAGAUGACCUGAAGCAACUGAAGAACCACAAAAGAAGUGAAAUAGUCAAUUCCUGCCUUAACUGAUGACAUUCUACCACUGUGAUUUGUUCCUGUCCCACCCUAACUGAUCAAUUGAGCUUGUGACAUUCCUUCUCCUGGACAAUGAGUCUCAGGAGCUCCCCACCGAGCACCUUGUGACCCCCACCCCUACCCUCAAGAGAAAACCCCUUUAACUGUAAUUUUCCACUACCUACCCAAAUCCUAUAAAACUGGCCCACCCCAUCUCCCUUUGCUGACUCCUUUUUCAGACUCAGUCUGCCUGCACCCAGGGAAUCAAAAAGCUUUAUUGCUCACACAAAGCCUGUUUGGCCGUCUCUUCACACAGACGUGUGUAACAGUAAUAAUAUUAUUUUAUUUUUUUGAGACAGGGUUUCACUCUGUUGUGCUGGCUGGAGUACAGGGGUGUGAUCAUGGUUCACUGCAGCCUCAACCUCCCUGGGCUCUAGUGAUCCUCCCACCUCAGCUUCCUGAGUAGCUGGGACCACAGAUGUGCACCACCACACCCAGCUAUUUCUUGGUAGAGAUGUUUUUUUGCCAUGUUGCCCAGGCUGGUCUUGAACUUCUAGGCUCCAGUGAUCCACUUGCUUUGAUCUCCCAGUGUUGGGAUUACAGGCAUGAGCCACCAUGCCCAGCCCUUAGUAAUAAUUUUAAAAAGUCUUUUAGUUUGAAGUUUUUGAUAGCCUGAGAACUGAGGCAGCAUCUUCUUAAAUUAUUCUUGUAAAAUCUGUGGGUUUGAAGUUUGAUUAAUGAGAACACAAUGUGUUUUUCCAAUGCUUCAUAUAGUGUCCCUUGUUCACAUUCCUGUUUUAUUCUUACUGCUUGUGUUCUUUAUUAUGGCUGGAUUGGUACUAGAAAAAACAAACCUUGUUUGUGUAUGAGUGUGGAUGUGUCUGACAAGUACUUGAAAUGUGACUUACAUGAUUUUGCUGUUUUUCUUUUUCAUGAAAUAUUAAGGUGGGAAAGUUGACAUUUUGCUUUUAAUUCAACAUAAUAUGAUGUGAAGAAUUUCCAAAUAAGAUUGUUUUCAUGUAAGACUCAUGGCCUAGAUGCAAUUAAAAUAAUAAAAUAAAAAU
rnacentral:lncRNA from 10 species